CGGAAGCCUUGUGUAGUUCUGAGACGAUCUCCAUGGUGCUAGAAUGUUUACGGUCUCCUCAACACUGCUCCAGAUUGUACGUGAUCUGCAAGGGGCAGACAAAUAUCUAGAUCCCAGACCCCUUGGUGGGAGCUGCACGUCAAGGGAAGACAAGCAGCUGGAGAGACCUGAGCACCAAGCUAAAUCCAGAUGUGGAAGAGAGAUUCACAGAUGCCGUUCCCCUAGAUUGAGGGGCUCCGUUUUGUUUGACCACUGACCUCUGUAAAGGUUUGGGAGUGUUAAUAGUCAGCUGGCUCUCCAAGCUCAGUCUUUCACUCUUGUUAACAGAGGGGGCAGCAAUUAAUAACUCAAAUUUGUGGAGGAACCACCUUAUCCGGUGCCUCUGAGUUCAGUUCAACAAGGGUAUACCCUCCUCACUACCAGAUUAAUGUGUUCUGAUCAAGGCAGAGCAACUGGAGAGCAAGUCAUGAAGACAGUAAGAAUAAACAUAACAUUUAAUAAGAACCUGUCAAAGUUGAUGAAGUAUUGAUGCCUUUGAUGCCAAAAGACAAGACUGAGCUGGUCACAAGAUGACUGCAUAUCUUCACAGCCAUAAAGAUGAUAAAACCCAUGCUCUAGGAUUUUUAUAUUUGCAGGAGAUGCAUAACGUCUGUGCAUCAGUUGUACAAACAAAUAAACCGG
ensembl:lncRNA